GAUGAACGCUGGCGGCGUGCCUAACACAUGCAAGUCGAGCGAAGCACUUUGCUUAGAUUCUUCGGAUGAAGAGGAUUGUGACUGAGCGGCGGACGGGUGAGUAACGCGUGGGUAACCUGCCUCAUACAGGGGGAUAACAGUUAGAAAUGACUGCUAAUACCGCAUAAGACCACAGCACCGCAUGGUGCGGGGGUAAAAACUCCGGUGGUAUGAGAUGGACCCGCGUCUGAUUAGCUAGUUGGUAAGGUAACGGCUUACCAAGGCGACGAUCAGUAGCCGACCUGAGAGGGUGACCGGCCACAUUGGGACUGAGACACGGCCCAAACUCCUACGGGAGGCAGCAGUGGGGAAUAUUGCACAAUGGGGGAAACCCUGAUGCAGCGACGCCGCGUGAGCGAAGAAGUAUUUCGGUAUGUAAAGCUCUAUCAGCAGGGAAGAAAAUGACGGUAC
rnacentral:rRNA from 1 species